rnacentral:rRNA from 1 species
UACAGAGGUCCCAAGCGUUGUUCGGAUUCAUUGGGCGUAAAGGGUGCGUAGGCGGCGCGGCAAGUCGGGUGUGAAAUCUCGGAGCUUAACUCCGAAACUGCAUUCGAUACUGCCGUGCUUGAGGACUGGAGAGGAGACUGGAAUUUACGGUGUAGCGGUGAAAUACGUAGAUAUCGUAAGGAAGACCAGUGGCGAAGGCGGGUCUCUGGACAGUUCCUGCCGCUGAGGCACGAAGGCCAGGGGAGCAAACGGG